rnacentral:rRNA from 1 species
AUUGAACGCUGGCGGCAGGCCUAACACAUGCAAGUCGAGCGAAUGAAGAGAGCUUGCUCUCUGAUUUAGCGGCGGACGGGUGAGUAAUGCCUAGGAAUCUGCCUGGUAGUGGGGGAUAACGUCCGGAAACGGGCGCUAAUACCGCAUAUGUCCUACGGGAGAAAGCAGGGGACCUUCGGGCCUUGCGCUAUCAGAUGAGCCUAGGUCGGAUUAGCUAGUUGGUGAGGUAAUGGCUCACCAAGGCGACGAUCCGUAACUGGUCUGAGAGGAUGAUCAGUCACACUGGAACUGAGACACGGUCCAGACUCCUACGGGAGGCAGCAGUGGGGAAUAUUGGACAAUGGGCGAAAGCCUGAUCCAGCCAUGCCGCGUGUGUGAAGAAGGUCUUCGGAUUGUAAAGCACUUUAAGUUGGGAGGAAGGGCAGUAAGUUAAUACCUUGCUGUUUGGACGUUACCGACAGAAUAAGCACCGGCUAACUUCGUGCCAGCCGCCGCGGUAAGAC